UACAGAGGGUGCGAGCGUUGUCCGGAAUCACUGGGCGUAAAGGGCGUGUAGGCGGGCAUGCAAGUCAGGCGUGAAAUCCCUGGGCUCAACCCAGGAAUUGCACUUGAAACUGCAUGUCUUGAGUAUCGGAGAGGAAAGCGGAAUUCCUGGUGUAGAGGUGAAAUUCGUAGAUAUCAGGAGGAACACCGGUGGCGAAGGCGGCUUUCUGGACGAUAACUGACGCUGAGACGCGAAAGCGUGGGGAGCAAACAGG
rnacentral:rRNA from 1 species